GGUGAAUACAAAACGUAUCUGGAGUCAGCCUCCUGCAAGUGGGGAUUGACUGGAGGAGGCCAGAAAUGUAAAUUACAAUUUGGGGGCUGGAAUCAGAGCCGUAUUUUCCAUUGACCUGAGAAGCCAAUGUGUUAUCAAGUGUCCUGCAGUUGCCAAGUGGAAGCAAAUGCUCUCUUAAUGAGGCAUUGCUCCUGGUAGUGUAAGUGCUGGAAGCAUUUGUUCAGUUGCCAUACCUCACUGUUUGCUUCUGUGUGACAAUAUUUCUUAACUAUUGAGGCUGUUGUACCAGCUUCCCCUUCAGAGUGAUGCUUCUCUUAUCUCUAGAGCCCACAUUGCUUGAGGGGUUGUUAUGUUGUUGCUGGAAUGAUGCCUGGGACAUUGCCCUUCCUCCUUGGAGGUGACUGGAUCUGUGGAAACCCUGUUUCUGAUAAAGCAGCUAUCUCAGGGUCAGCUUCCGAGGAACCUGAGCUCUGUUGCUGCUCAGUGUGCAUACCCCUCUGCUGCUGGAGGCAUCCCAGCCCUAGCAGUGUCUGUUUGCCAGACCAACUGCUGCUGCCCUGCAAAAGGAGACUGGCAAGAGCUUGCCUGUGGCUUGGGAUGGUAGGGAUUUGCUCAGCAAGGGUAUCUUGCAACAACUUCAUUCUGUGGCUUCUCUGUGGGUGCCUUAACAUUGAAAUAGUGCUCCUUUGAAUUCUGUAAGGUUGGGCAUGUUUUGGUACCUGGCCUACCACUGGUGAGUGACUACUGCAUAGCUUUUUGCUGAAGUAGUUUACUCUUUAAAAUCCUCCCUCUACAUUUGGAUCCAUACACAGAGAGUUAUUUCCUUGCAGAUCUGAAGCCAUUUAUAAGGAAGCAGCUUAUUCAGGGAUGCAAUUAGAGCACUUGUCUGACUCAUUACUAGAGCUAAUGGUAAAUCAAAGAAAUAUUCAGUCUGUACCUAUAAUUAUUCUGGGGGAUCUGCUGGAAUGUCUCAUCUUGGGUCCGGUUUUAUGUUGCUGAUAUUGUGAAUAAAAACCUUGUGCACAA